ACAUGCAAGUCGAACGAAGAGCGAUGGAAGCUUGCUUCUAUCAAUUAAGUGGCGAACGGGUGAGUAAACGCGUAAUCAACCUGCCCUUCAGAGGGGGACAACAGUUGGAAACGACUGCUAAUACCGCAUACGAUCUAAUCUCAGGCAUCGAGGAUAGAUGAAAGGUGGCCUCUACAUGUAAGCUAUCACUGAAGGAGGGGAUUGCGUCUGAUUAGCUAGUUGGAGGGGUAACGGCCCACCAAGGCGAUGAUCAGUAGCCGGUCUGAGAGGAUGAACGGCCACAUUGGGACUGAGACACGGCCCAGACUCCUACGGAGGCAGCAGUGGGGAAUCUUUCGCAAUGGACGAAAGUCUGACGGAAGCAUACGCCGGCGUAAGUGAUGACGGGCUUUUCGGGGUUGUAAAAGCUACUUUUAAAUCGGGACGAAAAGCCUUUCUGGCGAAAUAUAGAAAGGGUUU
rnacentral:rRNA from 1 species